GAUUCGUCCUAAAUAGGGAAAUGGUAGCGCCAUGUGUCACUCAAGGACUUUCCGCCGGCUCCAGAUCAGCACGCUGAUCAAUGGAGCCUGCAAAGUGGGAAGAAAAAGAAGAACAGUGUCCAGCAUACACGCUCACGAAAAAGAUAAGGGCGAGGAGAGCGGAAAAUGCGUACAGGAAAUCCAACAUCUCCUCUCGAGACUGGGAUGAGGACUAAACUCGAAUUGAUCAAUGGACAGACCGAGAUCAAGCAUCCAUUUUCUUA